rnacentral:rRNA from 1 species
AUUGAACGCUGGCGGCAGGCUUAACACAUGCAAGUCGAGCGGUAGCACAGGGGAGCUUGCUCCCUGGGUGACGAGCGGCGGACGGGUGAGUAAUGUCUGGGAAACUGCCUGCUGGAGGGGGAUAACUACUGGAAACGGUAGCUAAUACCGCAUAACGUCGCAAGACCAAAGCGGGGGACCUUCGGGCCUCUUGCCAUCAGAUGUGCCCAGAUGGGAUUAGCUAGUAGGUGGGGUAAUGGCUCACCUAGGCGACGAUCCCUAGCUGGUCUGAGAGGAUGACCAGCCACACUGGAACUGAGACACGGUCCAGACUCCUACGGGAGGCAGCAGUGGGGAAUAUUGCACAAUGGGCGCAAGCCUGAUGCAGCCAUGCCGCGUGUGUGAAGAAGGCCUUCGGGUUGUAAAGCACUUUCAGCGAGGAGGAAGGUGGUGAGCUUAAUACGUUCAUCAAUUGACGUUACUCGCAGAAGAAGCACCGGCUAACUCCGUG